AUAUAAAUCCAUAACCCCUUUAUCCUCCACUAUGUUUUCAUUGUAUUUCCUUUAGGUUUUGCAGUUCUCAAAAGCAUGAGUGACCCCAAGUAUGCUUAUCCCUACCCUGCUCAAGGUUAUUAUCAAGGGCCCCCAGUGAUGGCACCACCACAAUAUGCUGCUCCACCACCUAGGAGACAGACUGGUUUCCUUGAGGGAUGUCUUGCAGCUUUGUGUUGCUGCUGUCUCAUUGAUGAGUGUUGCUGUGAUCCUUCCAUCAUCUUUAUCAGCUGAUAAUGAAUCUCUGUAAUUUCACUGUAUCUGUAAUAUUAAUAAGCAGUAAUUUAUAACUAGUGAUUGUGUUGGUUUGAUGAAUCUUCAUCCUUGUAAUUUAAUUCUCUUAAGCAA